UCGGUUAUCAUGGUACCGAUGCUGUAUGUCUGAAAGGUACAGUACUGUGAUAACUGAAG
ensembl:miRNA